UAUUUGUUUCUGGUUGUCCGAGGGAGGGAGAUUGCAGGCAGCUUGCCUGACGCUGCCAUUGCGGGACUGGAACUCUCCACGCUGCGAGUAUUGCUGCACGGUGCGCCACGCCCUCCACGGAGCCACACUUGCCGCGGUGCUGUUCCAGGCCAGGAAGAGCUCCGACGGCACGAUUUUGGGUUUUCCCUCAACUACUCAGAACGUUCCCACAUCGGUGUCGAUACGCACAUGUAUUCAAUUUUGCCGACGCCACAACCAUUCUUGCUUCUGCAAGAAGGUCCUUGCCCAGCAUUCAGGCGCCUUGACCAUAGACUUCUCACCCUCCUCAAGAAAUAAACAUCUGUUCAUUAUAAAUUA